AGACCCGAAACCCGGUGAUCUAGCCAUGGGCAGGUUGAAGGUUGGGUAACACUAACUGGAGGACCGAACCGACUAAUGUUGAAAAAUUAGCGGAUGACUUGUGGCUGGGGGUGAAAGGCCAAUCAAACCGGGAGAUAGCUGGUUCUCCCCGAAAGCUAUUUAGGUAGCGCCUCGUGAAUUCAUCUCCGGGGGUAGAGCACUGUUUCGGCAAGGGGGUCAUCCCGACUUACCAACCCGAUGCAAACUGCGAAUACCGGAGAAUGUUAUCACGGGAGACACACGGCGGGUGCUAACGUCCGUCGUGAAGAGGGAAACAACCCAGACCGCCAGCUAAGGUCCCAAAGUCAUGGUUAAGUGGGAAACGAUGUGGGAAGGCCCAGACAGCCAGGAUGUUGGCUUAGAAGCAGCCAUCAUUUAAAGAAAGCGUAAUAGCUCACUGGUCGAGUCGGCCUGCGCGGAAGA
rnacentral:rRNA from 2 species